rnacentral:rRNA from 1 species
AGGGCACCACCAGGAGUGGAGCCUGCGGCUUAAUUUGACUCAACACGGGAAAACUCACCCGGCCCGGACACUGUAAGGAUUGACAGACUGAGAGCUCUUUCUUAAUUCAGUGGGUGGUGGUGCAUGGCCGUUCUUAGUUGGUGGAGCGAUCUGUCUGGUUAAUUCCGAUAACGAACGAGACUCUGGCCUAUUAAAUAGACGAGGUAUUUACAUGUAUCUCGCGCUUCUUAGAGGGACAAGCGGCGUCUAGUCGCAUGAAAAAGAGCAAUAACAGGUCUGUGAUGCCCUUAGAUGUCCGGGGCUGCACGCGCGCUACACUGAAAGAAUCAGCGUGCAUUCAAACCUAGUCCGGAAGGACCGGGUAACCCGAGUAAAUUCUUUCGUGCUUGGGAUAGGGAAUUGCAAUUAUUUCCCUUAAACGAGGGAUUCCCAGUAAAUGCGGGUCAUAAGCUCGCGUUGAUUACGUCCCUGCCCUUUGUACACACCGCCCGUCGCUACUACCGAUUGGAUGACUUAGUG